GCGGGCCGGAGCGAGGGAGGCGAGCAGAGCGGCGGCGCAGAUGCCAAACUAGCUGCAGUGGAGUGAAAAUACAGCUGUAGAAGCCCUGAAGAUAAGGGACUAAUGUCUGUGUCUCAAACAUGAAGAGCCAAAUUGCUCUGCUGCCAACCAAGGAUCCUUGGUAAUAACAUGCUGUGAGAAGUGACAGGAUGUGGCUGGAGAAGGGGGCCUUACAGGGGCAGGGCAGCAGUUUUCUGGGACAGAAAUCCUUGUUCUGGCUCCUGGAGAUAAGCACAGUUGGACAUACAGGAAUGAGGUCAAGAAAAAGGAUUACUGACCGAAAGCAAACCCAGCAGAGGGGGAUCAAGACACCAGAGACACCCCGAAGCCCUCCAACCUAUUUCCAGAAAGGUCUAGAGGAAUGAACUGUGCAUGACGACUGAUUUGCAUAGAAAGCAAGAAACUUAUCUAUAAAGUAAGUACCCCCAUGAGGCUCCAGGACUUCAUUGGCUAUUCAUGGCUCCAGGACUCUGGACAUCCCAUUAGCUGGAUCAGCGCCGGAACAAGGACUGGUGAUCUUUGUCCCUCUCUCCCUCCCUCCCUCCAGUUUCUCUCACUCACUCUACCUCUUUAUUCAGAACCCACCACUCUGUGCUUAUACUGGAAAAUGAGGGAAUAACAUAUCAAUUUCCAGGACAAGUGUAUAAUUUGCUAAUAAAACUCUGUAAGCUUUUACAGAC